ensembl:lncRNA
GGGGCGGGGAUUGCUCAGGUUCCAUUGAGCCGCAUGCUAAGGGCCGUUAAAAGCCCUUUGUGGAGGAGACAGUGGAAGGACGGCAGCCAUUGGCCCUCGGAUGAAAACCGCGGGUGGGAUGGAGGGUCUGUAAAGUGAAGGUGGCAAGGAGACCAAUUGAAGAUAAAUAAACUAAAGAGUAGUAGACGAUCUGAUUCUUUGGGGUUGGCUUGGUUACGUUGGCCUCCAACGGUGUGACUAGCUGAGAUCUCCUGUAGGUGUCUUGAAGAGGCCACUUAAAAAAGAACUAAAGACAAGAUCUGAGACAUUGGGGGCAGGGGGGGUCAACUAAAUACCCAGAGACUCCCCUCACACAUCUCCUCCUCACUGUACCGAGCUAUUCAACACUAGCUCCCCUCCCCUCCCUCCUUUGGACACCCUGAGAGCUCUGUGCUCUGCUGUGCCUUUCUCUCUGAAGCCCUGCUAAAGUCUGCUAUCUCUCUCUCUUGCUGUCUGUCUUUUGCAUGACAAUUAUUCACCCAAGUCCAUGGCCCAGAACAAUGCUUGUGUAGUUAGGGUUUGAUGUCUUUUAAGCUAUUCCCCCUCAGGAUGCCUGGUCCCGGGCCUACGUAACUUUUUUUUUUGUAUCUGGGGGGGCAGGGAGGGUGAUGUAAACGCAUUAUGGCGUGAGUUAAUUUAUGAAACUCAGAAGAAGAUAUAUUAUUUAUUCAAUAUCCAAUAAAUUCUGGUUGCAAACCGUGGCGACGCAUGGGAGGUGUAACAAAAUUUCUGUUGUAUUUUUGUGGUGUUACUCCAUUCCACCAUUUGUUGUGAAAUAAUCCAUCUUUAAUAAAAAAAAAACAGUACAAAUACAGUAAUUGUACUUCACAUGUCACAUGGGCCAAUUCAAUAAAUACAAAAAACAUCCUGGAUGAACUCAUUUGUCUGAAGGUGGAAGGACACCGCUUGAUCACUGCAUCCGCACACAGAACCCUGGACCUCGGACCAGUUUUGGACCUUUGGG